rfam:Brachypodium distachyon strain Bd21 chromosome 3, whole genome shotgun sequence.
UAUAUACUCCCUCCGUUCCAUAAUUCUUGCCGAAAUAUUACAUGUAUCUAGACACUUUUUAGAAAUAGAUACAUUCAUAUUUGGAUAAGUUUGAGAAAAGAAUUAUGGAACGGAGGGAGUACAUA